AGUUUGAUUCGGCUCAGAUUGAACGCUGGCGGGAUGCUUUACACAUGCAAGUCGAACGGCAGCACGGACUUCGGUCUGGUGGCGAGUGGCGAACGGGUGAGUAAUGUAUCGGAACGUGCCCCUGGCGGGGGAUAACUACGCGAAAGCGUAGCUAAUACCGCAUACGCCCUUCGGGGAAAGCGGAGACCUUCGGGCCUCGCACUAAUGCAGGAAGCAGCCGAUAU
rnacentral:misc_RNA from 1 species